CCUACGGGAGGCAGCAGUGAGGAAUAUUGGUCAAUGGUCGGGAGACUGAACCAGCCAAGCCGCGUGAGGGAUGAAGGUACAGAGUAUCGUAAACCUCUUUUGUCAGGGAACAAAGGCGGGGACGUGUCCCCGGAUGAGUGUACCUGAAGAAAAAGCAUCGGCUAACUCCGUGCCAGCAGCCGCGGUAAUACGGAGGAUGCGAGCGUUAUCGGGAUUUAUUGGGUUGAAAGGGUGCGCAGGCGGUCUGUUAUGUCAGCGGUAAAAGCCCGGGGCUCAACCCCGGACCGCCGUUGAAACUGGCAGUCUCGAGUUGGAGAGAAGUAUGCGGAAUGCGCGGUGUAGCGGUGAAAUGCAUAGAUAUCGCGCAGAACUCCGAUUGCGAAGGCAGCAUGCCGGCUCCACACUGACGCUGAGGCACGAAAGCGUGGGUAUCGAACAGGAUUAGAUACCCGAGUAGUC
rnacentral:rRNA from 1 species